rnacentral:rRNA from 1 species
GUGCAGCAGGCGAGAAUUUUUGACAAUGGGGGAAACCCUGAUCGAGCGACGCCGCGUGGAGGAUGAAGGUCUUCGGAUUGUAAACUCCUGUCAUUGGGGAACAAGGUGCAUACGUUAACUGCGUGUGUAUUGAUAGUACCCGAAGAGGAAGGGACGGCUAACUCUGUGCCAGCAGCCGCGGUAAUACAGAGGUCCCAAGCGUUGUUCGGAUUCAUUGGGCGUAAAGGGUGCGUAGGCGGCGCGGUAAGUCGGGUGUGAAAUCUCGGAGCUUAACUCCGAAACUGCAUUCGAUACUGCCGUGCUUGAGGACUGGAGAGGAGACUGGAAUUUACGGUGUAGCGGUGAAAUGCGUAGAUAUCGUAAGGAAGACCAGUGGCGAAGGCGGGUCUCUGGACAGUUCCUGACGCUGAGGCACGAAGGCCAGGGGAGCAAACGGGAUUAGAUACCCCUGUAGU